rnacentral:rRNA from 1 species
ACUCCUACGGGAGGCAGCAGUGGGGAAUAUUGCACAAUGGGCGCAAGCCUGAUGCAGCCAUGCCGCGUGUGUGAAGAAGGCCUUCGGGUUGUAAAGCACUUUCAGUAAGGAGGAAAGGUUAGUAGUUAAUACCUGCUAGCUGUGACGUUACUUACAGAAGAAGCACCGGCUAACUCCGUGCCAGCAGCCGCGGUAAUACGGAGGGUGCGAGCGUUAAUCGGAAUUACUGGGCGUAAAGCGUACGCAGGCGGUUUGUUAAGCGAGAUGUGAAAGCCCCGGGCUCAACCUGGGAACUGCAUUUCGAACUGGCAAACUAGAGUGUGAUAGAGGGUGGUAGAAUUUCAGGUGUAGCGGUGAAAUGCGUAGAGAUCUGAAGGAAUACCGAUGGCGAAGGCAGCCACCUGGGUCAACACUGACGCUCAUGUACGAAAGCGUGGGGAGCAAACGGGAUUAGAUACCCUGGUAGCGAGUA